rnacentral:tRNA from 1 species
GGGUGUAUAGCUCAGUGGAAGGGCACGUGCUUAGCAUGCAGGAAGUCCUGGGUUCAAUCCCCAGCACCUCCA